UACGUAGGGUGCAAGCGUUGUCCGGAAUUAUUGGGCGUAAAGAGCUCGUAGGCGGUCUGUCACGUCGGCUGUGAAAACCUGGGGCUCAACUCCGGGCCUGCAGCCGAUACGGGCAGACUAGAGUUCGGCAGGGGAGACUGGAAUUCCUGGUGUAGCGGUGAAAUGCGCAGAUAUCAGGAGGAACACCAAUUGCGAAGGCAGCUCGCUGGGACGUUACUGACGCUGAGACGCGAAAGCGUGGGGAGCGAACAGG
rnacentral:rRNA from 1 species